GGCUCGGUGGCCAAGUGGUAAGGCGUCGGUCUCGUAAACCGAAGAUCUCGGGUUCGAUACCCGGCCGGGCCU
rnacentral:tRNA from 1 species